GCUGCAGUGCAUUCUCUGCUGCAGUCGCACUUGUGGCAUUUCAUUAACAAGCCAGGCUUGUCAGCGGUCUGGACGUGUCACUGUAAGACAGCUUUGAGCCGCCGCAUUCACGACUUCUUAAGGGUGUGCUCAGACUGAAAGGCAUGUGGCCUUUUUUUUUUUUUUAAAUGUUCAGUUUGAAUGAAAAAUGUGCGCUUAUCUUGAAUCUGUAUGAGUGCAACGUGCAGAGAGAGAGAGGAGGAAGGGAGUAACUGGAGGAGAAUGCAGAAGAUAUGGAGAUCCUGCCUGAGUGGCUGCGAGUUUCUCCCAGGGCUUUAUUUAUUAUCCACAGAGGAUUAUUGAUUCCAGAGAUCAUUUCUUCAUUUCAGCAAGGAGCCGGAUCGACCAAUCAGCUUGCCUGACAUGUGAAUCCACACAGUGCUUUGUUGAGAUAUGGGAGGUGCAUGUGACCAACCUGCUUCUCUGCGUGGGUUUGCAGUGACAUUUAUGUGUGUCUUUUCAGAAGUGUAAUUCCAGCUUUACUGGUGAAUUUCUCAUCACUUUCAUCAUUUACUUGAAUUUUGUGGACUAUUUUAUGAAGUCCAACGGUGCACAUGUGCAGAAUGGCCACACUUUGAUUCUGAAGUAUUUGAUAAAUAUGAAGUAUUUGAUAAAUAUUCAUAAUUUUUUAUCUGUGCCAACUGCAUAUAUAUAUGUGUGUGUGCGUGUGUGUGUGUAUGUAUAUAUGUAUGUAUGACAAGAACCACAACUUAAAAUCUGCCCAUCCCUUAUGUUAUGGUUAUUGAAACAGAUUUUAUUUUCUUUGUGCAUUAGAGAUGAUGAUUAAGUGAUGCAUUUAUUUGUCAAGUCACUGUCAUUUGUAUAGUUUAAUAUUAUAAUCAAAAAUGUGCCUCAAGGAGCUGUA